rnacentral:rRNA from 1 species
UACGGGGGGAGCAAGCGUUGUUCGGAUUUACUGGGCGUAAAGGGCGCGUAGGCGGCCACCGCAAGUCAGUUGUGAAAUCUCUGGGCUUAACCCAGAACGGUCAGCUGAUACUGCGGGGCUAGAGUGCAGAAGGGGCAACUGGAAUUCUCGGUGUAGCGGUGAAAUGCGUAGAUAUCGAGAGGAACACCUGCGGCGAAGGCGGGUUGCUGGGCUGACACUGACGCUGAGGAGCGAAAGCGUGGGGAGCGAACAGG